GAUGAAGAACGCAGUGAAAUGCGAUAAGUAAUGUGAAUUGCAGAAUUCAGUGAAUCAUCGAAUCUUUGAACGCAUCUUGCGCUCCUUGGUAUUCUGAGGAGCAUGCCUGUUUGAGUGUCAUCAAAUUCUCAACCACUUCUUUUGAUGUGGCUUUGGAUAUGGGGGGAUUUCUUUUUUGCAGGCUUCUGAAAAACAAAGUCGGCUCCCCUGAAAUGUAUUAGUGGUGUCUGAGCAGGAGACUACUAUGGGUGUGAUAAAUCUAUCUAUGCCUUGGUACAACUGCUAUGCCGCUUCUAGCGAGUGCAUUUGACAAAUUUGACCUCAAAUCAGGUAGGACUACCCGCUGAACUUAAGCAUAUCAAUAAGCGGAGG
rnacentral:misc_RNA from 1 species